rnacentral:lncRNA from 1 species
UUUUUUUUCCCCUGCUAAAUUACAAAAAAAUAAAAAAAAAACUUCUUAUAAGUAUUUAUUUUUUUAUAUUUUAUUUUUUAAUAAUUCAAAUUUUUGUAUUAAUCUCUCUCCCCAUCGGGAUUCUAUUAUUAUUUUGUCCAUUUCUAACAAUUUAUAUCAAAAAUAUGCUUCAAAAUAACAGAAAUAUAUUAAAAUAUUAUUUUUUAUUUUAUAGAAGAACUAAGAAGAAUUUGGUUAUUUUGCCUUCUCUGCUAACGCCGUACCUUUCUAAAAAUAUUUCUAAACUUUUAAGAGAGUACAAUAUAAAUUUUUGAAAAUUAGAGAGAGAGAAAAUAAAAAAAUAGAUAUUUAUAGAGAAUUGUAUAUAAUUUAGCCCUUUUUUUUAAUAUAUAAAAACUUACCUGAAUUAUACAUAAUUUUAAUUUAGUCAGCCAACACUUUAAAAUUUUAAUCUUACUAUUUAAUUCUUUAUUUAUUUAAUUUAAGCCGGUCACCGAUAUAUAAUUUUAAAUUUUAAAUAUGUUAUUUAUUUUUAUAAAUUUAAUGAGUAUAUCUCAUGUAAUUUUUUCAGAUUUACAAAUUUAUUAAAGUAAAUAAUAAGCUUAAAUUUUGAUGUUACAAAGUAGAAGAAGAGUAAUAAAAAAGUUAAAAAUGAUUGCGGCGUUAAAUCGAAUACUCAAAAAGAUGUAGAUGUCAUCCAGCUCGACAGAACUUAACCCAUUCCGUUGCCAGUUUCCUACUGCGUUAAGCAGUAAAACUUAAUUAUUAAGUUGUGUAGUUUGUAAAUUAUUAUAUAAUUUGUUUGCAAGAAAAAUAUUUCUUUAAUUUUAUAUAUUAUUGAUGCAUUUAUAUGCAUACUUUUAAGAGUGGGAUCCUCUCACAAGGAUAACAUUAUGGAGAAUCCAAAAUAUUUGAUAUUACAAAGUGUAGUGUUGCAAAUAUUUUGGGGUAAACUUCAAAUAUCCCCAUAUGGUUUUAUACUUUUUCACUUUAACACUCUGUGGUUUACAGUGUAUCAAGUUAGCCCCUAUGGUUUCGCACUUUUUCACUUUAGUAUCAUGUGGUUUAAAGUGUAUCAAUUUAGUACCAUGUGGUUUCAUUUUUCUUUUUCUUAUUAUCUAUUUCACUAAUUUUUUUUCGUUAAAUCAGUGACAAAGUUAAAAUUAAAGGGUACUAAAGUGAAUAUCUGAUAAACCUAGGUAGGGUAUCUGAAGUUGUUUGUAUAUAAUUUAACAAAAUAUUAACAAAGGAAAAAAAAUGAGUGACAAAACUAAAACUAAAGGGUACUAAAGUGAAUAUUCGAUAAAUCUAUAUAGGGUAUCUGAAGUUUUUUUAUAUAUAAUUUAACGAAAUAUUAACAAAGGAACCGACGGAAAGAAAAAAAUGAAACCACAGGGUACUAAAAUAAGAAAGUGCAAAACCACAAGAUAAUAAAUUGAUACACUUUAAACCACAGGGUACUAAAGUGAAAAAAUGCGAAACUACAAGGGUGGUAUUUAAAGUUGUCCCAAUAUUUUAUAAUGUUGUCUUCUCUCUUUUUCUCUCUCUCUCUCUCUCUCUCUCUCUUCUCUCUUAAUUUUUUUUUCCCAAAAGAGUAAUGUUACGAUUAUUUCAGAAUAUUGACUUUAUAUAUUGGCUUUAUAUAUUUUUGAUGUAUUUGCAUGUGCACUUCAAGAGUGAGAAAUAUACCACCAUCUUCUUAGGAUAACAAUUUUGUGGAUCCAAAAUGUUUGGCAAUAUAAAAGUAGUGUUACAAUUUUUCUAAAAUAUCGUCUUCUCUCUCAUUUUUAAAAUUUUGAAAAAAAAAAUAUUAUUAUAGAUUUUUUAAAAUAUUGUCUUUAAAUAUUGCUAACGUAUUGCCACAUUUUUGAAAGAUUCA